GUUUUCUGCUCGGUCUCGCCGGGGUCGCCUUCCUGGAACACUUUGGUUAUUGAUCCCGCUGAAAGAGCCGGAGAGCGGAGGCCGCGCUUCCCUGGGGACGAAGGGAGUGGGGAGGGGAGUAGGCUGGUUGUUGGGGGAGGGAGUUGAUAAACUUCAGGAGGGGGUGUAGGGCGUUCCUCCGUACCCCAGGACAUCCC
rfam:Camelus ferus unplaced genomic scaffold scaffold1577, whole genome shotgun sequence.